rnacentral:rRNA from 1 species
UACGAAGGGGGCUAGCGUUGCUCGGAAUCACUGGGCGUAAAGGGUGCGUAGGCGGGUCUUUAAGUCAGGGGUGAAAUCCUGGAGCUCAACUCCAGAACUGCCUUUGAUACUGAGGAUCUUGAGUUCGGGAGAGGUGAGUGGAACUGCGAGUGUAGAGGUGAAAAUUCGUAGAUAUUCGCAAGAACACCCAGUGGGCGAAGGCGGCUCACUGGCCCCGAUACUGACGCUGAGGGCA